GGCCUAACACAUGCAAGUCGAGCGGUAGCACAGAGAGCUUGCUCUCGGGUGACGAGCGGCGGACGGGUGAGUAAUGUCUGGGAAACUGCCUGAUGGAGGGGGAUAACUACUGGAAACGGUAGCUAAUACCGCAUAAUGUCGCAAGACCAAAGUGGGGGACCUUCGGGCCUCAUGCCAUCAGAUGUGCCCAGAUGGGAUUAGCUAGUAGGUGGGGUAACGGCUCACCUAGGCGACGAUCCCUAGCUGGUCUGAGAGGAUGACCAGCCACACUGGAACUGAGACACGGUCCAGACUCCUACGGGAGGCAGCAGUGGGGAAUAUUGCACAAUGGGCGCAAGCCUGAUGCAGCCAUGCCGCGUGUAUGAAGAAGGCCUUCGGGUUGUAAAGUACUUUCAGCGGGGAGGAAGGCGAUAAGGUUAAUAACCUUGUCGAUUGACGUUACCCGCAGAAGAAGCACCGGCUAACUCCGUGCCAGCAGCCGCGGUAAUACGGAGGGUGCAAGCGUUAAUCGGAAUUACUGGGCGUAAAGCGCACGCAGGCGGUCUGUCAAGUCGGAUGUGAAAUCCCCGGGCUCAACCUGGGAACUGCAUUCGAAACUGGCAGGCUAGAGUCUUGUAGAGGGGGGUAGAAUUCCAGGUGUAGCGGUGAAAUGCGUAGAGAUCUGGAGGAAUACCGGUGGCGAAGGCGGCCCCCUGGACAAAGACUGACGCUCAGGUGCGAAAGCGUGGGGAGCAAACAGGAUUAGAUACCCUGGUAGUCCACGCCGUAAACGAUGUCGAUUUGGAGGUUGUGCCCUUGAGGCGUGGCUUCCGGAGCUAACGCGUUAAAUCGACCGCCUGGGGAGUACGGCCGCAAGGUUAAAACUCAAAUGAAUUGACGGGGGCCCGCACAAGCGGUGGAGCAUGUGGUUUAAUUCGAUGCAACGCGAAGAACCUUACCUGGUCUUGACAUCCACAGAACUUACCAGAGAUGGCUUGGUGCCUUCGGGAACUGUGAGACAGGUGCUGCAUGGCUGUCGUCAGCUCGUGUUGUGAAAUGUUGGGUUAAGUCCCGCAACGAGCGCAACCCUUAUCCUUUGUUGCCAGCGGUUAGGCCGGGAACUCAAAGGAGACUGCCAGUGAUAAACUGGAGGAAGGUGGGGAUGACGUCAAGUCAUCAUGGCCCUUACGACCAGGGCUACACACGUGCUACAAUGGCAUAUACAAAGAGAAGCGACCUCGCGAGAGCAAGCGGACCUCAUAAAGUAUGUCGUAGUCCGGAUUGGAGUCUGCAACUCGACUCCAUGAAGUCGGAAUCGCUAGUAAUCGUAGAUCAGAAUGCUACGGUGAAUACGUUCCCGGGCCUUGUACACACCGCCCGUCACACCAUGGGAGUGGGUUGCAAAAGAAGUAGGUA
rnacentral:rRNA from 1 species